UUGAAAGAAUUUCCUACUGCGGGGAUGCAGAUUGUUAUUUCUGCUCUUACUCUAGUAUUGAAACAGAAGAAAUGUUUUUGCCAUCUACUACAGAAUACCUGAUGUUUCAUUCAGUUGAGUUGUUGCCCCACCCAACUAGAAAAAUCUUACGAAGAAUUUAAUCGAAUGUGAAUUCUGGCCCAUUGGGUUCUACUCAGAUAUGGAACCACAUACAGAAUAUAAAAUUCCUCAUUCUGAUCAGAGCUACUCCAGUCUGAAUGGGUGGAGUCAGAGGAAAAAAUGGCAAUAAUAAAC